AAUCAACGCUGGCGGCGUGCCUCAGACAUGCAAGUCGAACGCGAAAGUUCCCUUCGGGGAGCGAGUAGAGUGGCGCACGGGUGAGUAACACGUAGGUAAUUUACCUUCGGGUGGGGAAGUAACAGCCGGAAACGGCUGCUAAUACCGCAUAAUGCAGCGGCUCGACAUCGAGACAGUUGUUAAAGCGGGGGAGUCGAAAGACCCCGCGUCUGAAGAGGAGCCUGCGGCGGAUUAGCAGUUGGUAAGGUAAUGGCUUACCAAGGCGACGAUCCGUAGCCGGCCUGAGAGGGCGGUCGGCCACACUGACACUGACAUACGGGUCAGACUCCUACGGGAGGCAGCAGUCGGGAAUUUUGGG
rnacentral:rRNA from 1 species